rnacentral:misc_RNA from 1 species
UUAUAUUUAUUUUAACGUAUAAUUCUAAAAAUAAGUAAUCUAUUUUUAACCUUUAAAUCGGAUAAUUUAUUUGUAUUAACUUUAAGGAGUGCUUCAUAUUAGUCUCUUAUCUUUAAUUUAUUAUAAAAAAAUUCUUAAACUUUAGUCAAAAGUUCCCUUUACUAGUUUUACCUAUUGUAAUAGGCUUAGAAUUUACUAAAUUAAAAUUAGCUAAAUACCCUCCUCUUAAUAACCCUUAUUUUUUAUUUUUUAAUUUAUAUAUA